rnacentral:rRNA from 1 species
AAAUUGAAGAGUUUGAUCAUGGCUCAGAUUGAACGCUGGCGGCAGGCCUAACACAUGCAAGUCGAGCGGAAACGGCAGCAUUGAAGCUUCGGUGGAUUUGCUGGACGUCGAGCGGCGGACGGGUGAGUAACGGCUGGGAACCUGCCCUGACGAGGGGGAUAACCGUUGGAAACGACGGCUAAUACCGCAUAAUGUCUUAGUUCAUUACGAGCUGGGACCAAAGGUGGCCUCUACAUGUAAGCUAUCGCGUUGGGAUGGGCCCAGUUAGGAUUAGCUAGUUGGUAAGGUAAUGGCUUACCAAGGCAACGAUCCUUAGCUGGUUUGAGAGGAUGAUCAGCCACACUGGGACUGAGACACGGCCCAGACUCCUACGGGAGGCAGCAGUGGGGAAUAUUGCACAAUGGGGGAGACCCUGAUGCAGCCAUGCCGCGUGUGUGAAGAAGGCCUUCGGGUUGUAAAGCACUUUCAGCAGUGAGGAAGGUAAUGUACUUAAUACGUGCAUUGCUUGACGUUAGCUGCAGAAGAAGCACCGGCUAACUCCGUGCCAGCAGCCGCGGUAAUACGGAGGGUGCGAGCGUUAAUCGGAAUUACUGGGCGUAAAGCGCAUGCAGGCGGUUUGUUAAGUCAGAUGUGAAAGCCCGGGGCUCAACCUCGGAACCGCAUUUGAAACUGGCAGGCUAGAGUCUUGUAGAGGGGGGUAGAAUUUCAGGUGUAGCGGUGAAAUGCGUAGAGAUCUGAAGGAAUACCAGUGGCGAAGGCGGCCCCCUGGACAAAGACUGACGCUCAGAUGCGAAAGCGUGGGUAGCAAACAGGAUUAGAUACCCUGGUAGUCCACGCCGUAAACGCUGUCUACUUGGAGGUUGAGGUUUAAGACUUUGGCUUUCGGCGCUAACGCAUUAAGUAGACCGCCUGGGGAGUACGGCCGCAAGGUUAAAACUCAAAUGAAUUGACGGGGGCCCGCACAAGCGGUGGAGCAUGUGGUUUAAUUCGAUGCAACGCGAAGAACCUUACCUACUCUUGACAUCCAGAGAACUUUCCAGAGAUGGAUUGGUGCCUUCGGGAGCUCUGAGACAGGUGCUGCAUGGCUGUCGUCAGCUCGUGUUGUGAAAUGUUGGGUUAAGUCCCGCAACGAGCGCAACCCUUAUCCUUGUUUGCCAGCACAUAAUGGUGGGAACUCCAGGGAGACUGCCGGUGAUAAACCGGAGGAAGGUGGGGACGACGUCAAGUCAUCAUGGCCCUUACGAGUAGGGCUACACACGUGCUACAAUGGCAGAUACAGAGGGCAGCGAAGCUGCGAAGUGGAGCGAAUCCCUUAAAGUCUGUCGUAGUCCGGAUUGGAGUCUGCAACUCGACUCCAUGAAGUCGGAAUCGCUAGUAAUCGUGGAUCAGAAUGCCACGGUGAAUACGUUCCCGGGCCUUGUACACACCGCCCGUCACACCAUGGGAGUGGGCUGCACCAGAAGUAGAUAGCUUAACCUUCGGGAGGGCGUUUACCACGGUGUGGUUCAUGACUGGGGUGAAGUCGUAACAAGGUAGCCCUAGGGGAACCUGGGGCUGGAUCACCUCCUUA